CCCGCUUCAAAAUAUUACAAAAUCAAGUAAAAUAAGUGCACUAAGGAAACCUACAGAAUACUGAUAAAUUUCACACACGUACAGGAGGGAAUACAGAGGGAGGAGUGGGACUUCUUUGUUUGUUGCUUACAUUUGUCUUUUUAAAAUAAUGCCUUCCCUGCCACUUGCAGUCUCUACAGCAAUUGUCCCAGAGGGCAACACCUGGAACUCAGCACUCCCUUCCUCAAUAGCCAAGUCACCCUGCAGAUGACAGUGACCCUCUUGCCUGUUGUGGGGCACAGUCCGGGCUCUGCUCGCCAAAAGGCUGCCCUUCCCCUCAGUGCGGAGAGGCGAGACGAGAAUCUCCAAGGAUAUUCAAGGCAGGUCUCGUGUGGUAAGUAAGCCCUUCCAACCACCGUCAUUCUCCACAGUCACAUAUUCCCUUUGAGGGUACAAGGAGGGAAAAGCUACACUGGUAGCAGCUCUUUCCAUAGGGGCACAUUCACUGCACCCCUACACCAUGCUGUCCUAGGAUAUGUUAAACGGCUUGUUAGAGAGCUUAGCUUGCCUUGCCUGAAGGAGCAGCCCAACCCCCAGCCUCAGUCCAAGUGCAAGCUCUGUGAAUCUUGGGUGCUAGCAUAGAACUCCCCAGCCUACCCCAGCAGCCAUCCUCACAGACUGCAACAUCCGCAGGAAGCAGGAAAGGGACUGGAGAAUGAAGCCUACAGAAGCCCUCCUGCAUGGAUAAGUGUCUCCUUCCUGCAUCAUGCUUUGCUUCUCCCAGUUGGAGAUCUUCCUGCCUGGACAAUAAGAUGUUCUUCCCAUCCAGGGAAAGCCUUUAAGGCAAGCUGUUGUGUUUUUUUCUAAGGCACUUCAAUGAUCCAAGCUGCAAGGAAGUGAGCUGGGAGGCAUGAACUACCCUUCAGAGUUGGAGCAGAAUAAAGCAAAACAUCUAUUAACUAUGUUCCUGUGACUCCAGAACCAGCACAUGAUGCUGUUUUGCCCCUCUCUAGGGGAAGAGCUAGGAGAUGUCUAAUGAGUACUCCUGUCCCACCAAACACUUCCUUCAGGGCCACCAGAACACAGUAACUCGCAGUGUACUCCUGCAUUAUCUGCAGCUCCUAUGGACUCAUUCACUCACAUCACAGGUCCUAGCUUCUCAGAUCUGGAUCUUCAUGGGAGAAGAACCCCUGCAAGAACCAGCCCCCUUCUGUACUUACUGUGCUAAAACAUCCAAACGUGGCACAGUAAGUUAUGAUUCCCUCAGCAGAUGUGGCACUGCAUCAGUCAACGGAAGACCUCUGGAUUCACAUCAGGGACACAGCUCAAAGACCAGACAACUUUGAAUAAUCAUGCUUCUCAGGCAAGACCACAGGAGGGAUCAAGCUCUCUUCCUUUCCUACGCUUGCAAGGCACUAGCUCAGUCUUCUUCAAGGAAAGCAUUGUGCCAGCAAGGGAAGGCAGAGACUCAAGCCCUGCUGAUCUCAAGCAGAACAUGCUUCUGCUGAUGCAGGCUGUUUCGCUUGAGUAAGCACUAUAGACUGCAAGACACCUGGCAACAAUUGCUGAAGUUGUUCAGAAACAGGAAGAUAGAACUCAAAGGCAGUCCUCUUGAUUCAGGGAUGUGCAACUGCUUGGGAUGCACAGCAGGGACAUGAAGGGAAUGUGGACAGAGGAUGCUUAGGUGUGUAAGUAUAUGAAGUACACUAGACAACUGCAGGAGAAAAUCAGCUGGGCAUGAGGCUAGAGAGGUGAACGUCAACAAAACAGCUUUUCAUUUUUAACUGGGACCAAUGCGCUGAGAAACAGGAUACUUGAAAAUGACCCGCAAAGGGUAUUAAAAAAUGGUCUGAUCACAGACACUGAAAAUUGUGUCAGCAAUAAGGGUUCUAGCCCUGACUCUGAACACACACCUGGAAUUAAAGAUGACUGCUCCUGCCUUAUACCAGAGAUGGAAAAUCCAAGAUGAUGGCUAACAGCUCAAACUUCAAUUGAACAGUUUUUUAUGUAGUUAAUCUAUUAAUGGGAUGCCUCGUCCCUCUGUCUCUAGACUACCUAGCAGGUCCCUCUGGGCAACUUAAGACUGAGCACAUGGUCAGUGCUAGCCAGGGGAGCAAAAGCCAGAGAGCGCUGCAAUGUCAACCUGUGUCUAGCAGAACUCAUUACAUCCAGCCCUGCCUCUUUGUUCAAUGAGGGAUGCUGCAAUCCCCAAGUGAGAAAUACCCUGUAGCAUAGGGCUCACAAGUCGCUUGCUUGUGGUGACUGAGUGCAGUGUGAUAGAAAUUGUGCACGGGGUAUUACAGCACUGUUGAUAACAAAAACCCAUAGGCUGAGUUUUCUUGAAAGAUCUAGAGCUACAAAACAUACAAACGCUGAAUUACUACCAUAGGAAAUAAAGUAAUAAAAAACAAAACAAAACAAAAGGGGGGGUCAGCAUGUGAAUGUGAUAAGAAAAAAAUACGAUAGCACCUUUAAGGAGGGGGCAAGGAGAGUAAGAGUGAGAUGUGGUCAAAAGGAACCGUGUUGUGUUGUAGCCCACAAUGUACUGGAGGAGCUGCUGGGGACAGUCCGGUAGAAAGCAAGGAGGAAUGUGCUGGACUCCUGCCAGCAGCACGGCACCAUGACUUCCAGGUGUCACAUGAGGCUGACCAGCUUUGAGGAGCUCGAAACAAAGUGGAGGGUAAGCGGGGUCAUGCCCUUGGCUAAUGAUGCCCUGAAGCACUCGGCCAAAAAACUGCCAGGCCUGUGCUGGUGCUGACAACUGUGAAUUGAAGACCCCCUCUUCUAUCCAGCACUGACCUCCAUCCUUUCCCCAGAUCUAGGGGAACAAGAAAUCCCCAUGAGCUCCCGGGAGAAACCACUGUCGCCCUGGGGAAGGGUCCCAGGGGCUGCUGUAGUUUCCCCCCAGCCUUCCAAGGCCCCAGCAAUGAAGCUCCCUGACCUGGUGGGCUCUGCUCCCCUUUCCUGGCCCCAUUCUCUGUGUAUUACAAAACAAAUAACCCAUCGCUAUACAAUGUAAAUAUCUGUGACUGGGCAACUGUAGCAGACACUUGUGCAUACUGAGAUCAGCACUGGAGGACAGGGCAGCAGGUUGGGCCCAUCCUCCCGGGCUCCUCCGAUGUGGAGGCCCCUUACAUCUCCUUGGUGCUCAUCUUCUUGGUCUUCUCAGCCGUCUCCUGAUGUUUCUGCAGCUCCUGAACAUAUCUAGCUAGCUCCUCCUCAGUCAAGUCUUGACCAGGUUGCUGUCUGUGAGCAGUCAUCUUCUCAUUCUUCCCUUCACAUGUCAUUGCAGUGCACACCCAGUUCCCACAGGCACAGACGCAGCGGUUGCACUCCACCUGGGUCUCUGCUCCAUCCUCAUAGGUUUCAUCUUCCAAGGCACACUUUUUCUCUGGUGGGUUGAAGGAUGGGCUGAGGCACUUGAGAAAUUCAUUGAAGCUGAGCUUCCAGUCAGCGUUUUCAUCUGACAGCUCGAUGAGGGCAUCUACGCAGAGUCCCCUGAGCAGCUUGUUGGUCUCCUGGUCCACGUAGGUUGUGAUGUUGACAGCAGUCUCGUUCUGCUCCACAAAUUUCAGGAAUUCAGUGGAGUCCAGGCGAGAAUCGCCGUCAUCAAAGUUCUUGAAGUACUUGUCCAGGACAUCACUGUAGUUGCUGCCCUUGGAAAACCAGCCGUCUGGGAUAAUCUCUGCUUCCAGCCACUGGAUGACACGGCGACGAAGCUCGUCCCUAUCCGACUGGUAACAGACAACUGGACUCGCAGCUGGAUUCUCAGACUUCUUCUCUUUACAGUGGCCAUCGUAAUCCACUUGGAUCUUGGAGCCAGUGAGGCAGGCAUCUCGGUGCAGCUCACAAUGGUUCAGGUACGUCUUGCCAUUGCUACCACACACAGGCCUCUUGUGAGGUUUGCAUUGCUCAAUGCAGAGGCAGGUUGGCUCUCCCUUCUCAGUCACUGCACAUUCCCGCCCAGCUCCGCAGAAAACGUUGGCACAGAUUUUGGAUUUGCUCCUUGGCUCUUCCUCCGCUCGCAGCCGGGCGACGGCCAGCAGGGCACAGAGCAGCGGGAGAGUUUUCCAGAUCAUGCUGCGGGCUGACGGAACCGGCGACGCACGAGGAGUUGCACAGGCGCCUUCUCCGGCUCGCUCAGCAAGGGAAGGGGAAGUCUCCCCUCGCCCCGACCCGCCAGCCCGCGGCUCCACCCCCGGCCCGACCCCCGCCCCGGGCCCGGCCCCUCCUCGGUCCGCCCGCUGCCACCGCCCCGCGGGGCCUCGGGGCGGGGCGGGGUGGGAUGGCGGCCCCCUGGAGGGCGAAGUGGGCUUCGUCCCAGAACAGAGUGAGCGGUCCGAGCUUGGACAGGCCGGAGCUUCGCUGUAGGCUGUUACGUAGGGACACGGGGAGGUCUACGGUCGUUAUGUGAGCCCGUGUCCACAGAGCGUUAGCAGAGGGAACAGUGGUCUGUCAGCGCCGUGGGUUGGGUCGUCCCGCCUGGAACGGCUGGCAGUGGUCACGUAAAUACCUGUGAGCCUCUUAAUAUCUUUAGCAUGGAGUUUCCAGCUCAGGGGCUGUAAGGCAGGACCUGGCAGCACAGACUGGCUGUCCAAUGGGGAAGAGCCUGGUGCAGAAACAAAGUGCGAAUUCAUUAAUUCAAACCCGAAGUCUAAUCCUUAAUGUCCGAGGAGAAUUUGAUAUAUGUGAACACUCAUUUAACCCCUAAACAGGUCAGUCUCAGGUAACAGAGAAGACGGGCUGUUGGAGUCUGGUAAUAUUCAGUGCAAAAACGAGGCUUUUGGGGGAAAAAAACCCCAAAAACUUCAAAACAUGUGACUUUCACAUCUUAUCAAUUCAAAGUGGGCAAAGAGG
rnacentral:lncRNA from 1 species